rnacentral:ncRNA from 1 species
UUAGCUAUUUUAGAUAGGUUUGUAUUCAUGAAUUUGGAUACAAACGAGCAGUUUGUAUCUAUGAUGGCUAGGGAGUUUUUGAUAUGUUAAGCCGCCACGUAGAUGCUUUAAAUCUACGGUGGCUAUAUAUAAUCGUAUUCCAUUUUGGAAGGGAUGUUCAC